rnacentral:rRNA from 1 species
ACUCAAAUGAAUUGACGGGGACCCGCACAAGCGGUGGAUGAUGUGGUUUAAUUCGAUGCAACGCGAAAAACCUUACCCACCUUUGACAUGUACGGAAUCCUCCAGAGAUGGAGGAGUGCCCGAAAGGGAGCCGUAACACAGGUGCUGCAUGGCUGUCGUCAGCUCGUGUCGUGAGAUGUUGGGUUAAGUCCCGCAACGAGCGCAACCCUUGUCAUUAGUUGCUACAUUUAGUUGGGCACUCUAAUGAGACUGCCGGUGACAAACCGGAGGAAGGUGGGGAUGACGUCAAGUCCUCAUGGCCCUUAUAGGUGGGGCUACACACGUCAUACAAUGGCCGGUACAAAGGGCUGCCAACCCGCGAGGGGGAGCUAAUCCCAUAAAACCGGUCGUAGUCCGGAUCGUAGUCUGCAACUCGACUACGUGAAGUCGGAAUCGCUAGUAAUCGUGGAUCAGAAUGUCACGGUGAAUACGUUCCCGGGUCUUGUACACACCGCCCGU